rfam:Schistosoma mansoni, Puerto Rico, WGS project CABG01000000 data, contig: 0037
AGCAGUGGACGAGUCCCAAAUAGGACGAAACGCGCGUCCUGGAU